rnacentral:lncRNA from 1 species
GCGGCAUUGCAUUCAUCGUCGAAAAUUCGAAUUCGCUGCUCGGUUCACUCUACUUCGCUUUCGAACUCGCCGCCUUGUUGUUCUGUUUUUGUUGUUGUCAUUCGGCUUGUAAACCGCGUGAAAGUGGUAGUGCAAUCGGGCAUCAGGUAGAGAAACAAACACACACAACAGCGGGAGAGAGGUGGAGAGAAAGACCGAGAUCACCGCAUGCCAAGAGAAGUCCCUGCAAAAAAUUACUGGAUACAAAGAUGCACUUUCUGAAAACUAUUCCGCGGUUAAGCAGUUCAGAUAAUUAAUAUAGUUCAACUCUUAAUUCUUAUAUAAAAUACUGUUGAUAGGUUUCCUAUACACAAGCUAAAUCACUAAAGCACUUUGUAUGAUUAAAUAUUAAAAAAAUUUACGAAUAUUGCAUAUAUUUAACAUAAAAUCAAAUAAAUCAACUCGAAUUGUUAGCACUGUGAAAUGAAGGAUUUUUUUCUCCGUGUGGCAUACAUACGUAAAAUAGUUGUGCAUGUACCACAAUCGAAAACGCCAAGUAGCUGCCGUGCCGCCGCAGCCUCCGCCGCUCUCUGUUCCGUUCUCUCGGCCUGGCUUUCGGUUAACCUCAGUCGGGCUCCUACAACCUCACCUCGCCAGGCGGCGCGGCAAUCAGCGCUGUGUCGUGUGGAUCGGCGGACGAACCGACGGACGGUGCUUGUGUGCUUUCCGCCAUGGUAAAGGGUGACUCCCCCCAGCUUCCUUUCCUCCGAGCUCCCCCCACUUGGAUCCCGCACUCACCAAUUCACGUUGUUUGUCUUUUGGCGCUGCGCACGCGUGGAACUGUGGUUAAGAACGUAAAGCAGCGGGCGCUAGUUUUCACUGAAGCACUAGACAUUCUACGCAAUGUAAAAUAUUUAUGUAAAAUGCAAUUUUACAGUAAAUAUUUAAAAAGUACAUUCAUGAUGAUAAGUAACAAUAAAUAAAGAUAAAAUUAAAAAUAUUUAAUGUAAUAUGUUGAGUUCCAGGAGCCCAAUUACAAACACU